CCUACGGUGAGCAGCAGUCGAGAAUCAUUCACAAUGGGGGAAACCCUGAUGGUGCGACGCCGCGUGGGGGAAUGAAGGUCUUCGGAUUGUAAACCCCUGUCAUGUGGGAGCAAAUUAAAAAGAUAGUACCACAAGAGGAAGAGACGGCUAACUCUGUGCCAGCAGCCGCGGUAAUACAGAGGUCUCAAGCGUUGUUCGGAAUCACUGGGCGUAAAGCGUGCGUAGGCUGUUUCGUAAGUCGUGUGUGAAAGGCGCGGGCUCAACCCGCGGACGGCACAUGAUAGUGCGAGACUAGAGUAAUGGAGGGGGAACCGGAAUUCUCGGUGUAGCAGUGAAAUGCGUAGAUAUCGAGAGGAACACUCGUGGCGAAGGCGGGUUCCUGGACAUUAACUGACGCUGAGGCACGAAGGCCAGGGGAGCGAAAGGGAUUAGAUACCCGGGUAGUC
rnacentral:rRNA from 1 species